rnacentral:misc_RNA from 1 species
UCUCCGUAGGUGAACCUGCGGAGGGAUCAUUAACACGUUUUUAACAAAACAAAACCAAUUAAAACCUGUCAAUUUGCAUCCAGCUGAAAUUCUUUUUUUAGCUGGUUGGGAGUUGUUUUGGUCUGCGAAUUUAUUCACUGAAUGGAUCUAGUCUUUAGCAGGAGAGUGGAGUCAAAUCUAUUUCUUUUGUGAAGGCCAGGUCUUAUUCAAACAAUUUUUUUAAUCUUUUUUUACAAACCCAUGUAACAAAAAAAAACCCAGUUGAACAGUUCAAGCUUUACCGUAAUAACCUUUGUGUUAUUGGGGUGGGCGUACGACUGUACUAAUCUCUUUUUUGUUCUUUUCCAUUUCUGAGCUUGAUAUAAUAUUAAUAUUAAAUCUAGCACAAAGAAAGUGGAAAAGAAUAAUAAAAACCACAAUAAUCUAAGAACAACUCUUAGCAAUGGAUAUCUUGGUUCUC